rnacentral:rRNA from 1 species
UACGUAGGUGGCAAGCGUUGUCCGGAUUUACUGGGCGUAAAGGAUGCGUAGGCGGAUAUUUAAGUGGGAUGUGAAAUACCUGAGCUCAACUCGGGUGCUGCAUUCCAAACUGGAUAUCUAGAGUGUCGGAGGGGAAAGCGGAAUUCCUAGUGUAGCGGUGAAAUGCGUAGAGAUUAGGAAGAACACCAGUGGCGAAGGCGGCUUUCUGGACGAUAACUGACGCUGAGGCAUGAAAGCGUGGGGAGCAAACAGG